rnacentral:rRNA from 1 species
UACGUAGGUGGCAAGCGUUGUCCGGAAUUAUUGGGCGUAAAGCGCGCGCAGGCGGUCCUUUAAGUCUGAUGUGAAAGCCCACGGCUCAACCGUGGAGGGUCAUUGGAAACUGGGGGACUUGAGUGCAGGAGAGAAGAGUGGAAUUCCACGUGUAGCGGUGAAAUGCGUAGAGAUGUGGAGGAACACCAGUGGCGAAGGCGACUCUUCGGCCUGUAACUGACGCUGAGGCGCGAAAGCGUGGGGAGCAAACAGG